CGCCCAGGCUGGCACUUCUGGCACCGCUCAGAGUGAGGGAGGAGGGGACUCUGGCCCCCAGCCCCACCCCCAGCACCUUGGGAAGGAGCCCAGGGGGAGGCGGGAGGGGGGGCGGCCUGCAGCCUUGUGCCCCCUGAGCCUCCUUUUCUUUGCUGUCUCUUUAAGGCUGAAACAAGAAUGCAGUCAAAGGAACCUGACUGUCAGUGACAGGAGAAAAAGAGCUGCAAGCCAAAACAUGCAAAACCAGCCUUUCAUUGAGGAGAAAAUGAAAAAUACAGAAUGAAAUGAAGGGGAGUCUCAAGAACUUGCAGAAGCCGAGCUUCCUGUGCAAAUGAGAAGCCCGGGGGCAGAUGGCGCCCUCGUUAUCCUCGCUAUCGUCGGUGCCCAUGCUGGUGGAUGCAGACCGGCCGCAGUGCAGAGGGUCCGCUUUCCCGCUGCCGUGGACCCGGAACCGCUUGGUGGCAUCCCAGCGUCUCCGCGGCUGCUGACAGCUUGAAGAUCACGGUCUCCAGCAGCAGGCCCUCUACGCUAAACGUGUCCCCUGAAGUCCGUCGUG